AUUGAACGCUGGCGGCAUGCCUUACACAUGCAAGUCGAACGGUAACAGGUCUUCGGAUGCUGACGAGUGGCGAACGGGUGAGUAAUACAUCGGAACGUGCCCGAGAGUGGGGGAUAACGAGGCGAAAGCUUUGCUAAUACAGCAUACGAUCUCAGGAUGAAAGCAGGGGACCGCAAGGCCUUGCGCUCACGGAGCGGCCGCUGGCAGAUUAGGUAGUUGGUGGGAUAAAAGCUUACCAAGCCGACGAUCUGUAGCUGGUCUGAGAGGACGACCGGCCACACUGGGACUGAGACACGGCCAAGACUCCUACGGGAGGCAGCAGUGGGGAAUUUUGGACAAUGGGCGCAAGCCUGAUCCAGCCAUGCCGCGUGCAGGAUGAAGGCCUUCGGGUUGUAAACUGCUUUUGUACGGAACGAAAAGACUCCUUCUAAUAAAGGGGGUCCAUGACGGUACCGUAAGAAUAAGCACCGGCUAACUACGUGCCAGCCGCCGCAGUAACAC
rnacentral:rRNA from 1 species